UACGUAGGUGGCAAGCGUUACUCGGAAUCACUAGGCGUAAAGCGCAGGUAGGCGGUUUGGUAAGUCUGUUGUGAAAGCUCCCGGCUUAACUGGGAGAGGUCAACGGAAACUACUAGGCUAGAGUGCGGUAGAGGUAGCUGGAAUUCCCGGUGUAGCGGUGAAAUGCGUAGAUAUCGGGAGGAAUACCUAUGGCGAAAGCAGGCUACUGGACCGUCACUGACUCUGAUCUGCGAAAGCUAGGGGAGCAAACAGG
rnacentral:rRNA from 1 species